CCGUGCCUCGAUGAUCGGGACAACCCGGGGAAACCCGGGCUAAUACCGAAUGUGCUGUCCUCACAUCAGUGAGGGCUGGAAAGGAAGCUUCGGCCUCCGCAUCGAGAUGGGCCCGCGGCCCAUUAGCUUGUUGGUGAGGUAACGGCUCACCAAGGCUGCGAUGGGUAGCUGGUCUGAGAGGACGAUCAGCCACACUGGGACUGAGACACGGCCCAG
rnacentral:rRNA from 1 species